rnacentral:rRNA from 1 species
AUACGGGGGGGGCAAGCGUUGUCCGGAAUUAUUGGGCGUAAAGAGCUCGUAGGCGGCUUGUCACGUCGGGUGUGAAAGCCCGGGGCUUAACCCCGGGUCUGCAUUCGAUACGGGCUAGCUAGAGUUCGGUAGGGGAGAUCGGAAUUCCUGGUGUAGCGGUGAAAUGCGCGGAUAUCAGGAGGAACACCGGUGGCGAAGGCGGAUCUCUGGGCCGAUACUGACGCUGAGGAGCGAAAGCGUGGGGAGCGAACAG